rnacentral:rRNA from 1 species
CCUACGGGAGGCAGCAGUGAGGAAUCUUGGUCAAUGGACGAGAGUCUGAACCAGCCAAGUAGCGUGAAGGAUGACUGCCCUCUGGGUUGUAAACUUCUUUUAUAAAGGAAUAAAACGAGGCACGUGUGCCUUUUUGCAUGUACUUUAUGAAUAAGGAUCGGCUAACUCCGUUCCAGCAGCCGCGGUAAUACGGAGGAUCCGAGCGUUAUCCGGAUUUAUUGGGUUUAAAGGGAGCGUAGAUGGGUUGUUAAGUCAGUUGUGAAAGUUUGCGGCUCAACCGGAAAAUGGCAAUUGAUACUGGCAGUCUUGAGUACAGUUGAGGUAGGCGGAAUUCGUGGUGUAGCGGUGAAAUGCGUAGAUAUAACGAAGAACCCCGAUUGCGAAGGCAGCUUACUAAACUGUGACUGACAUUGAUGCUCGAAAGUGUGGGGAUCAAACAGGAUUAGAUACCCGUGUAGUC